rnacentral:rRNA from 1 species
AGUGAACGCUGGCGGCAGGCCUAACACAUGCAAGUCGAGCGGCAGCACAGGACUGCUUUCUGUCUUGGUGGAGAGUGGGGGACGGGAGAGGUAGAAAUCGGAAUCUGCCCAGUCGAGGGGGACAACGUAGGGACACUUACACUGAAACCGCUCUCGACCACCCGGUGAGAGAGCCUCAUCGCAAGCCCUCUCGCGUUUGGCUGAGCCGAUGUCGGAAUCGCUAGUUGUCGGGGUAAUGGCCCACCAAGGCGACGAUCCGUAGCUGGUCUGAGAGGAUGAACAGCCACACGGGAACUGAGACACGGUCCAGACUCCUACGGGAGGCAGCAGUGGGGAAUAUUGGACAAUGGGCGCAAGCCUGAUCCAGCCAUGCCGCGUGGGUGAAGAAGGCCUUCGGAUUGGAAAGCACUUUUGGUGGGAAAGAAGGGUUUGAGGCUAAUACCCUGGGGUUAUGACGGUACCAACAGAAUAAGCACCGGCUAACUACGUG